UGUAGGAACAACACCAGUGGUGAGGCCAGCUCUGGAGCCCUGGAUUCAGCUCCCGCAGUAACUCCGGAGCUCUCCGUCUGCAGGGGCCUGGAGUCUCCGGGGCAUG
rnacentral:pre_miRNA from 1 species